rnacentral:rRNA from 1 species
AACGAACGCUGGCGGCAUGCCUAACACAUGCAAGUCGAACGAGAUCUUCGGGUCUAGUGGCGCACGGGUGCGUAACGCGUGGGAAUCUGCCCUUUGGUUCGGAAUAACAGUUGGAAACGACUGCUAAUACCGGAUGAUGACGAAAGUCCAAAGAUUUAUCGCCAGAGGAUGAGCCCGCGUAGGAUUAGCUAGUUGGUGUGGUAAAGGCGCACCAAGGCGACGAUCCUUAGCUGGUCUGAGAGGAUGAUCAGCCACACUGGGACUGAGAAACGGCCCAGACUCCUACGGGAGGCAGCAGUGGGGAAUAUUGGACAAUGGGCGAAAGCCUGAUCCAGCAAUGCCGCGUGAGUGAUGAAGGCCUUAGGGUUGUAAAGCUCUUUCACCCGGGAUGAUAAUGACAGUACCGGGAGAAUAAGCUCCGGCUAACUCCGUGCCAGCCGCCGCGGUAA